UUCAUUAAAACCUUUAUUUCUGCAAUUUAGAUUUCCUUUAUAAAAUUUCUAAUUAAUUAUAUUGACUUAAGUUAAUUUCCUAAAAGUGAUAUGACAUAAGGGCUCACCCUUCCACAGCAGCCACAGUAGCGUCGUGGAUAGUGUGGGUAACCACUUUUGGCCAUAUAAAGUGAUUACAUUGAAAGUUAAAUUCUGAUUAAACAGGUCGGAAUGGCCGCCGGAAUCUCUUUUUCGUGAUCCGUACAGUCAAUUUCCGCAUAUUUGGCAGCAAGCAGCGGGGGAUUGGAGGAAGUGACAGAGGGAGGAUUUCAAUCCCAGCAAGGCCACGAAUUGGAGCUGCUACGAGCAGAAGCUUGAGCUGAAGCCCGCAAGAAAAUCACCGACCAGGCAGAGGAGACAGAAACCCUGCACAUUUCCCUGCACGAAUCCGGAUCCCCUUUGAUCCAAACAUUGCUGCCUGGGAAAUCCAAGACUCACCGAAUCCAGAAGAUCGAUUGAGCUCCAGCAACAGCCGCAGUACCAGCUCCAAGGCCGCGAUAUCGAGGCGUGAGGCGGGCCUUCCUGUACCGGAAUAGGUUCGGCGAGCCAGAAUAUUCACUACCGGCAGCUUAAUAUAAUCAUAAUUCAUUAGCUUAAUA
rnacentral:lncRNA from 1 species